AAACCAACAGGGAUUGCCUUAGUAGUGGCGAAUGAAGCGGCAAGAGCUCAAAUUUGAAAUCUGGUAUCUUCGAUAUCCGAGUUGUAAUUUGAAGAAAACAAUCUUGGAAUUGGUCCUUGUCUAUGUUCCUUGGAACAGGACGUCACAGAGGGUGAGAAUCCCGUGCGACAAGGAAUUCUUUUCUAUAUAAGAUGUUUUCGAAGAGUCGAGUUGUUUGGGAAUGCAGCUCAAAGUGGGUGGUAAAUUCCAUCUAAAGCUAAAUAUUGGCGAGAGACCGAUAGCGAACAAGUACUGUGAAGGAAAGAUGAAAAGAACUUUGAAAAGAGAGUGAAAAAGUACGUGAAAUUGUUGAAAGGGAAGGGUAUUCGAUCAGACUGGUAUUUAGUUAUCAUUGCUCCUUGUGGGUGGUGCUCUAGCUUUUUACUGGGCCAACAUCAGUUUUGGUGGUAAGAUAAUCGCAGUUGAAUGUGGCUCCUUCUGGAGUGUUAUAGCUUCUGUUGAUGUUACCUACCGGGACUGAGGUCUGCGGCUUUGCCUAGGAUGUUGGCGUAAUGAUCCAAUACCGC
rnacentral:rRNA from 1 species